CAUGGCUCAGAGUGAACGCUGGCGGCGUGCCUAAUACAUGCAAGUCGAACGGACAAGUAAGAGCUUGCUCUUAUGAGUUAGUGGCGCACGGGUGAGUAAUGUAUAGCUAAUCUGCCCUACACUAGAGGACAACAGUUGGAAACGGCUGCUAAUACUCUAUACUCCUGUCUUACAUAAGUUAGAUAGGGAAAGUUUUUCGGUGUAGGAUGAGGCUAUAUUGUAUCAGCUAGUUGGUGAGGUAAUGGCUCACCAAGGCUAUGACGCAUAACUGGUCUGAGAGGAUGAUCAGUCACACUGGAACUGAGACACGGUCCAGACUCCUACGG
rnacentral:rRNA from 1 species